rnacentral:Y_RNA from 1 species
GGCUGGUCCGAAGAUAGUGAGUUAUAUCAGUUGAUUGUUUAAAGUCAGUUACAGAUCAAACUAUUUGUUCUACUCUUUCCCCUUCUGUACUUGACUGCAGUUGACUAGUCUUAA